rnacentral:lncRNA from 1 species
CAAGAAGGUCAGGGAGCCUAACUCAAGCCCUGAGCUCUGCCCAGCCCACACCUCUCAGGGCAGGAGGCCAUCUGGGUUAUUGAGGUGCUAGCAGGUUCUAGCAACAGGAGGCAGCUGAUGGGGGUGUGUCCUCCUUGCCCCCGGAGUCGGAGAUGUGGGAAAGUUGCGGGCUGGAUCUGGGAGGCACCAGGUCAUGUGAGGCAGAGAAAACCAGGAGGCCAGGCCACUGGGCACAGCUGCCAGUGCCUUAGACCAGAACUGGUGCCCUUCCUCCCUUUUCUUCUUUCCUCCUCCCUCCCUCCCUUCCUUCCCUGCUUAUUGGCAGUGUUCAUCUGUGCAACGUACUAGGAGUAUACAGAAUAUGUAUUCCUAGUAUGAGGAAUAGUCCUAAUCCUACUGUAACGGAUUGUGUGUGACUUCUGGGAGAUUACAGACGAACGGGGAGACAGACAGACUAAAGUGUUGACGCUGUUUCCUUUGAAUCCACUGUUUCAAUGCAGAGACGCCUAAUUCCACGGCGAUGGAGGUGCCCACCUAGAAUGAAAGGAGCUUGGAUGCUUCUGAAGGAGGGAGACCUCACAACCUCAUUCUGGAAACGGGCACAUGUGGCCCAGUGGGCAGGUGUGAGGGGCCCACUGUAAAACUGGAGUUUCCUGGAUGAAAUUCUGCAUGGAAUGUAAUGUUUUUUAAAGAAUGAGUUAUAAAAAUAUAUCGAUUUGAAGUUUACGUAUCUUUUAUUGAAAGCCAAUGGUAACCACAGCAUUUGUUCAGCUGUAGAACUUAG